ensembl:lncRNA
CAACAUUUUCAAAACUUUAUUAGGGUAAUAUCAAAGUAAGUCAAUCCAUUGUUUCUAUGGAAAAUACAAGCAUUUUAUAAUUUUGUGGCAAACACAACAAUACAGUUGUAUGAAACAAUGAAAAUGAAACAAAACACUUGCGAACUGGUUUAAACCUUCACAGAAGUUUGAAAAGGCUGUAUUGCAGCAAUUACCAAUAGAAACUAGUGCCUACCAUACCCAACAAAUGACAGCAAUAGACUCAUUACAUUUAUUUGACAAAAAGGCCUACAUAUAACCUAUCUUAAACUAAAUAUGGAGCACACAAUUAAAGGCCGAUCAAACUUAAUAACCAACAAAAAUGUCUCAACAGAAUGAAACGAAACACAUUUAGCAUAUUUAAAGGACUGGUUUAGAUUAAUAAAUAGGCCUACAAUACUAAUAAUGAUAUACAAUAAUUAUAGAACAAAUAUUUUACAAAUAUAAUAAACUGCAUCCUAUCUAAAUAGUAAGUUGCACAGAAUCCUGCAUUUUGCCAUACAUUUUUUUUUCUGCUAACGUCUUCUAUCAUAUAAAUGACGGAGAAUUGCAGGAAAUGCAUUUAUAAAAGGCACAUUUUCUUCCCCAGAUCCGGCAAAAAAAACCUACGUGUGAUAAAGGUGUCUCCUCAACUGUAUGCCACUACGCAAAGGCGAACAUAGAUACAUGCAAUGCUUUAUUAUAAAUGGGCUUUUUUUUUUACCAAAGUGAAAAAAAAUGUUGACAACAAAUUCUCUUUUAGCCCAAUCCCAUUUAGCCCAAUGUUCCAAACCUAAAGGAGCGAGCCACAUGAGCCUGUCAGGAGACUACAUUACCCAAGAGUCUUUCCUGGCAGUUGCUGAAUAUCGUGUUUUAGUGUGACGUUGGUUAUGUCGGUCUUGCGAUGACUAUUACUUGUCUCGGUGACACUUGGAGCAAUGUGGAAUACACCUGCCAGAGGAUAUCCUGUGGCUCCCCUGGAGAAGGCAUGAAUGGUUGGUAUGACCUCACAGAGGGGGUGGAGUUUGGAACCAGAGCAAGAGCCAAGUGUGACAAAGGGUCAGUAGUACACACUCACAGAACAGGACCUUCUCUCCAGUAGAUGUACUAGUAGAGUUGUCCUACACUCACAGGACAGGACCUUCUCUCCCGUAGAUGUACUAGUAGAGUUGUCCUACACUCACAGGACAGGACCUUCUCUCCCGUAGAUGUACUAGUAGAGUUGUCCUACACUCACAGGACAGGACCUUCUCUCCCGUAGAUGUACUAGUAGAGUUGUCCUACACUCACAGGACAGGACCUUCUCUCCCGUAGAUGUACUAGUAGAGUUGUCCUACACUCACAGGACAGGACCUUCUCUCCUGUAGAUGUACUAGUAGAGUUGUCCUACACUUACAAGACAGGACCUUCUCUCCCGUAGAUGUACUAGUAGAGUUGUCCUACACUCACAGGACAGGACCUUCUCUCCCGUAGAUGUACUAGUAGAGUUGUCCUACACUCACAGGACAGGACCUUCUCUCCCGUAGAUGUACUAGUAGAGUUGUCCUACACUCACAAGACAGGACCUUCUCUCCCGUAGAUGUACUAGUAGAGUUGUCCUACACUCACAGGACAGGACCUUCUCUCCCGUAGAUGUACUAGUGGAGUUGUCCUACACUCACAGGACAGGACCUUCUCUCCCGUAGAUGUACUAGUGGAGUUGUCCUACACUCACAGGACAGGACCUUCUCUCCCGUAGAUGUACUAGUGGAGUUGUCCUACACUCACAGGACAGGACCUUCUCUCCCGUAGAUGUACUAGUAGAGUUGUCCUACACUCACAGGACAGGACCUUCUCUCCAGUAGAUUUGUUGCAUCAUAUUAUAGCAACGCUAAAGGUCUUAUAUAGAACCCCAAUGAACUCUUAUUGUAAAAAAAAAAACUUGCUUCUUAUAUGUACCGCUAAAUGUUCUAUUUAGAACUCGUAUUUCUUUUCUUCUAAAAGUUGGGGGCAAUAAAUGAAGUGAUAGAACCUGUUUUCUGUUUUCUGUUUUCUGUCUUCUAUUUGAGUUGAAUAUUCUGUCCUUGUUUUCAGACAUUACAUAUUGGGUUCCAAAGUAUCAAAUUGCAUGGCAUCAGGUUGGUCUGCCAGACUCGCUAUCUGUGAAGGUCAGUGACUGAUGUGAAAGGGCACAUGCGCACACACACACACAUUCAGGGCUGUCAUUCAGCACACUUGUUUGAUUUUUGCCCAGCUCUGCAAGCCGCUAAUGCAAGCAUGCGGACUGGGUAACGAACACUGUAGGUGAAGUCCCUUGGGCUGCUCUAUUUAAGUCCUGUGUGUGUGUGUGUGUGUGUGUGUGUGUGUGUGGGUGGGUUUGUUUGUUGUUCUCAGUUGUGUUUGUCAUAUUGAGUCAUGGCCAGUGAGUGAGGACAAAACAACUAUAUAUAUACAGUGCUUCAGUAUCUCACUGUUUCAGCUUGGUUUCACUCAG